AUUGAACGCUGGCGGCAUGCCUUACACAUGCAAGUCGAACGGCAGCACGGGAGCAAUCCUGGUGGCGAGUGGCGAACGGGUGAGUAAUAUAUCGGAACGUGCCCAGUCGUGGGGGAUAACGCAGCGAAAGCUGUGCUAAUACCGCAUACGAUCUAUGGAUGAAAGCGGGGGAUCGCAAGACCUCGCGCGAUUGGAGCGGCCGAUAUCAGAUUAGCUAGUUGGUGAGGUAAAGGCUCGCCAAGGCGACGAUCUGUAGCUGGUCUGAGAGGACGACCAGCCACACUGGAACUGAGACACGGUCCAGACUCCUACGGGAGGCAGCAGUGGGGAAUUUUGGACAAUGGGCGAAAGCCUGAUCCAGCAAUGCCGCGUGCAGGAUGAAGGCCUUCGGGUUGUAAACUGCUUUUGUACGGAACGAAACGGUGAGCUCUAAUACAGUUUGCUAAUGACGGUACCGUAAGAAUAAGCACCGGCUAACUACGUGCCAGCCGCCGCAGUAA
rnacentral:rRNA from 1 species